rnacentral:rRNA from 1 species
GCAUGAUUCAAGUUUGAAAGGCGGCGCAAGCUGUCACUUUAGGAUGAGCCCGCGGCGCAUUAGCUAGUUGGUGGGGUAAAGGCCUACCAAGGCAAUGAUGCGUAGCCGAGUUGAGAGGACUGAUCGGCCACAUUGGGACUGAGACACGGCCCAAACUCCUACGGGAGGCAGCAGUAGGGAAUCUUCCACAAUGGACGCAAGUCUGAUGGAGCAACGCCGCGUGAGUGAAGAAGGUCUUCGGAUCGUAAAGCUCUGUUGUUGGUGAAGAAGGAUAGAGGCAGUAACUGGUCUUUAUUUGACGGUAAUCAACCAGAAAGUCACGGCUAACUACGUGCCAGCAGCCGCGGUAAUACGUAGGUGGCAAGCGUUGUCCGGAUUUAUUGGGCGUAAAGCGAGCGCAGGCGGAAUGAUAAGUCUGAUGUGAAAGCCCACGGCUCAACCGUGGAACUGCAUCGGAAACUGUCAUUCUUGAGUGCAGAAGAGGAGAGUGGAACUCCAUGUGUAGCGGUGGAAUGCGUAGAUAUAUGGAAGAACACCAGUGGCGAAGGCGGCUCUCUGGUCUGCAACUGACGCUGAGGCUCGAAAGCAUGGGUUAGACGAGCAGGAUUAGAUACCCUGGUAGUCCAUGCCGUAAAUCGAUGAGCGCUAGGUGUUGGGGACUU